rnacentral:rRNA from 1 species
GGAAUAUUGGGCAAUGGGGGAAACCCUGACCCAGCAACGCCGCGUGAGGGAAGAAGGCUUUCGAGUUGUAAACCUCUGUCCUAUGGGAAGAAGAAAGUGACUGUACCAUAGGAGGAAGCUCCGGCUAACUACGUGCCAGCAGCCGCGGUAAUACGUAGGGAGCAAGCGUUGUCCGGAAUUACUGGGCGUAAAGGGUGCGUAGGCGGCGCAGUUAGUCAGAAGUGAAAUAUCGGGGCUUAACCCCGGGGCUGCUUCUGAUACUGCUGUGCUCGAGUGCAGGAGAGGUAAGUGGAAUUCCUAGUGUAGCGGUGAAAUGCGUAGAUAUUAGGAGGAACACCAGUGGCGAAGGCGACUUACUGGACUGUAACUGACGCUGAGGCACGAAAGCGUGGGUAGCAAACA